AGGAUAACUUAAUAGAACUGUAUAAUCUUAUUUUGCUAUUCCAGGAGAAGCAUUAUGGAGACCAUGUAUGUGCUGAGGAGUGGGAGGAUUGCUGAAGUUUGUGCAGAGGUAUUACAGGUUGGAAAGAAGAAAUGGGGACAAGUGAGGCAAGCAUAGGAGUGAGCGGGCUAGAAUCUGGGAGUCAGCAGCUCACGUGUCAGUUAAUCAAGGGACCACAAAGCGAAGCUGCGAGGUCACACAUUGAUACAAACAGAAAAAACUCAGCGGUUUGACUGUCAGCAGACUCAGAUGUCAGCUUAAACUUUGUCUGCAUCUAUUAGAAGGUAAUCUUGAUGCCUCUGCUGCUGUGCUUCCUGCUGGAACACCACUCACCCUCCAGAAGACUUCUCUUUAACCAGCACCUGCUCCACAGACUGUUUGGAUUGGCCUGCUUCAAGUCCCAGUUUCCUUCUAGCAACUUCUGCUGCUUCAGGUCCUAUUGCUGCUUCGAUGUCUUUUGGAUCAA
rnacentral:lncRNA from 1 species